GAGACCAUCUGUGUUAAUAUGGCUUAAUUAAGAAUACGGAUCAGCUGAGCCACCCAUCCCCCCCACACACACCUCCCCCGCCGCCCGCAGGCUUCUACGGUUGCCAUGACGGCGGCCUUGUUCUGGGCUGCACUUGGCUUUGCACCUGUGCUCGAGUUCUACGUCUUCACCAUGGCCACCACUGCGCAUCAACUUUCUCCUCAUCGCAGACUUCUUCUGGUUGGUGUCUCUGCUGCUUUCCUCCCUUGUUUGGUUUAUGACAGCAGUCAUUACUGACAUCAAAGAUGGACCAGUGCGGAAAUGUCUGCUGAUUUUUGGAGUGUUAGUCUGUCCUUAGGCAAGAAAUGUGCCGGUUUGCAUGUUAUAAACCUUUUUUUUUUUUAAGCCAGUGAGGGCUUGAAGAGGAUAAACCCAGGUGAGAGCACCCUCUACGGACUGCUGGCUUAUGUCUCUGGCGUGGGCUUUGAAAUCAUGAGUGGAGCAUUUUCCUCUGUAAAUACUCUGUCUGAUUCUCUGGGGCCAGGCACAGUAGGCAUUCUUUGAGACCCUCUCCAGUGCUUCGGAAAUUCAGCUUUCAUGACACUGGUGAGCACAUUGCUGCACGUGUUCUAGAGCGUCGUGUUUUUGGAAGUGCCUGUGAGAAGAAAAAGUGGUACACCCUUCUUGUCAUUCUCACCUAUCUGCUGGUGUCAGCCCCAAGCUUCAUGAAUACUCACUGUGGAUUAAAUCUGGUGUCAGUGUGCAUCAUGCUGGUACUCACGGGCGUCUGGCCAUUCUCCAUUUCUGCCAAAGCCUGAAAUGUUGCCUGCUCUGCCAAGACUAGGACUUGCUCCUCUUCAACCAGUGCUCCAGACAACCCCCAAGGACCAGCACUUUUGAAAUGGAGAAAGGGCAUCGCUUUAGAGAUAUAAAAACCUCUGGAGCACCAAAGACACUAAUCUGACAUACUGGUGUAGGUGUUGAGAAAGUUAAACACUGGUCUUCUUGCCUGGAGAAUCCCAGGGAUGGGGGAGCCUGGUAGGCUGCCGCCUAUGGGAUCGCACAGAGUCAGACACGACUGACGUGACUUAGCAGCAGCAGCAGCAGCAGCAGGACAGCCCUUUAUCAUUUGUGAUAAAGAGAACCAUUCCAAACAUCUGAUAUGGACAUCAUCGCAUCCUUUGAACCUGUCAACUGCAAAGGAUCCUAACUGGAAACAGGUGCCCAGAAUUGGAAGAAGGCAUGAAUAUUGAAAGUCCAGGGCCUUCACUUAGCAGAUGAGGACGAGGACAACACUCUGCAAGCAGUCUCCCUGUUGAGAGGCUUCCCUGGUGGCUCAGUGGUAAAACAUCUGCCCGCCGAUGCAGAAGACACGGGUUCAAUGCAGGAGACACUGGAUCAAGAAGAUAAUCUGGAGAAAGAAAAUGGCAGCCCACUCCAGUAUUCUUGCCUGGAAAAUCGCACAGAGGAGCCUGGUAGGUUACAGUCCAUGGAAUCACAAAGAGUCAGACACGACUUUGUGACUAAAUCACAACAACUCCCUGUUGAGAUGUAAUGCAGGAGCUGUGUGCUUCUACAGGCUUGCCUUGACUCUGGGCCCUGCCAACAACACCCCCCAAAAGUAGAAUGCCAACUCACACUGCCUUAUUGUACCACAUGGGAGCAGGAGAGUUCAGUUCCUCCUCAGCCCUGGUGACAACUUCCUCUUGAAAGUGGAGAACUAACGAUUCUGUCUCAUUGUAUCCUAGUAGGGGUGUAAGCUCAGCUCUCUGUUAGGCUCCACUAACCUCAGGGAAGAGGGAAUGAGAGUGCAAAGUCACACACAUUGUUGCUGCAGUUUCUGAACAGAAGCUCCCCUCCCCACUGACCCCUGCUGUUGCCUGGCUGGGAGAUAAUGAAGUACUAAUACAUUCAAUCUCAUUGCCUGAUGGGAAUGGAGGCUCAACUUGCCACUGAACCUCCCUGAUACUGUGGACCUCCCCAGUACUACCCUGGCAGGAGAAGGGGAGCAAAGUCAACUUCCAGUGGAAAGAUCAGCUCCUCACUCAGCCCAGCUGACACUAACUAGGCAGGGGGUCAGAGCAUCAGCUGCUUCCACCGAGCGGAAGACAGAAGGUCAGCUCCUCGUUCAGUCUCACCGACUUCACUCCCACAGGCAAGAGAAUCAGAGUACCACUGUCUGCUUCCACGAGUGAGCACAGAGGAGAAAUGGAAAAAUCAGCUUGCUGUUUGACCCCAUUGAAACCACAGGAAGCCAGGCAGUAUUUCUGUAGAUGUUUGGCUGGAGUAGGGCAGAAGCACAGAGAGAUGCAGACAUCCAGGAAGAAGGCCAUGUGACAGAGGCAGAGGCUGAAGUUAUGCAGCUAAAAGCCAAGGAACACCAAGGACGGCUGGCAACCAUCAGGAGCUGGGAAGAGUUAAGGGGGAAUCCCCUCCUAGAGCCUUCAGAAAGGGCAUGGCCCUGCUUACACCUUAAUUUCAGACUUCUGAUCUCCAGGGCGGGGAUCUUCCUGACCCAGAGAUCGAAUCCUGGUUUCCUGCAUUGCAAAAAGGUCUUUAACUGUCUGACCACGAGGGAAGCAUUAACAAUGCCGAAGCCGGUAGAUUUACUACUGCCUCAUUCUGUAUGUAAG
ensembl:lncRNA